GUCCCAGACUCCUACGGGAGGCAGCAGUGGGGAAUAUUGGACAAUGGGGGGAACCCUGAUCCAGCGACGCCGCGUGAGUGAAGAAGUAUUUCGGUACGUAAAGCUCUAUCAGCAGGGAAGAAAGAAAUGACGGUACCCGACUAAGAAGCCCCGGCUAACUACGUGCCAGCAGCCGCGGUAAUACGUAGGGGGCAAGCGUUAUCCGGAUUUACUGGGUGUAAAGGGGGCGCAGACGGCGAUGCAAGCCAGGAGUGAAAGCCCGGGGCCCAACCCCGGGACUGCUCUUGGAACUGCGUGUCUGGAGUGCAGGAGGGGUAGGCGGAAUUCCUGGUGUAGCGGUGAAAUGCGUAGAUAUCAGGAGGAACUCCGGUGGCGAAGGCGGCCUGCUGGACUGCAACUGCCGUUGAGGCCCGAAACCGUGGGUAGCAAACAGGAUUAGAUACCCCGGUAAG
rnacentral:rRNA from 1 species